AGCCGAGUGGAGCGGUUCGGUAGCUCGUCGGGCUCAUAACCCAGAGGCCGCGGGCCUAAUCCUGCCUCGGCCA
rnacentral:tRNA from 1 species